UACGUAGGGGGCAAGCGUUGUCCGGAAUCAUUGGGCGUAAAGCGCGUGUAGGCGGCUGAGUAAGUCUGCUCUGAAAGCCCGGGGCUCAACCCCGGGAGGCGGGUGGAUACUGCUCAGCUCGAGUCCGGAAGAGGAGUGUGGAAUUCCUGGUGUAGCGGUGAAAUGCGCAGAUAUCAGGAGGAACACCAAUGGCGAAGGCGACACGCUGGGCCGUACCUGACACUGAGGCGCGAUAGCAUGGGGAGCAAACAGG
rnacentral:rRNA from 1 species